rnacentral:piRNA from 1 species
UGGGUUGACUACUGGCAAAAUUGCUGGA